rnacentral:ribozyme from 1 species
CACAACAACAGCCACCACGACAAUGACGGCGGCGACGACGACGGAGCGAGCAAUGGUGGACAUCACCGGGAUUACGGCACAGCGUCCUAUGAU